rnacentral:pre_miRNA from 1 species
UAUGUACUCCCUCCGUUCCGAAUUACUUGUCGCACGUAUGGAUGUAUCUAGAUGUAUUUUAGUUCUAGAUACAUCCAUUUCAGCGACGAGUAAUUUGGAACGGAGGGAGUAACAG